rnacentral:rRNA from 1 species
AGAGUUUGAUCAUGGCUCAGAACGAACGCUGGCGGCAGGCCUAACACAUGCAAGUCGAGCGAGACCUUCGGGUCUAGCGGCGGACGGGUUAGUAACGCGUGGGAACGUGCCCUUCUCUGCGGAAUAGCCACUGGAAACGGUGAGUGAUACCGCAUACGCCCUUCGGGGGAAAGAUUUAUCGGAGAAGGAUCGGCCCGCGUUAGAUUAGAUAGUUGGUGGGGUAACGGCCUACCAAGUCUACGAUCUAUAGCUGGUUUUAGAGGAUGAUCAGCAACACUGGGACUGAGACACGGCCCAGACUCCUACGGGAGGCAGCAGUGGGGAAUCUUAGACAAUGGGCGCAAGCCUGAUCUAGCCAUGCCGCGUGUGUGAUGAAGGUCUUAGGAUCGUAAAGCACUUUCGCCAGGGAUGAUAAUGACAGUACCUGGUAAAGAAACCCCGGCUAACUCCGUGCCAGCAGCCGCGGUAAUACGGAGGGGGUUAGCGUUGUUCGGAAUUACUGGGCGUAAAGCGUACGUAGGCGGAUCAGAAAGUUGGGGGUGAAAUCCCGGGGCUCAACCCCGGAACUGCCUCCAAAACUCCUGGUCUUGAGUUCGAGAGAGGUGAGUGGAAUUCCAAGUGUA